AGACGGGGUGGCAAAGGGGAGAGGCGUUGAUAUCGCAUCGAAAGCAUUGGCGCGACACCUGCGUGUAAGACGCGAUGGGUGGUGGCCCCACCCCGAAACGGAAAGGGUGCCGCUACUCGAAAUGAAACAUUGCCGGUAAGAAGAACGCGAGGUUGGCCGAUGGUGUGUAGGUAGGAAAAGGUGGUAGUGGUGGUGGUGGCGGUGGUGGUAGGGAGACUCGCACUCUCGCGCGGUGACGCGAUAUGGGGAGGGAGGGUAGGAGGGGGGGAGGGAGGGUGGCGGCGGCGGAGGAAGAGGAAGAGGCGCGCAGGGUGGUCGGAGGGUAGCUAUAGGGGCGGAUUCGCGCGUUCUACGCCGGCAAGGGGGUGGAGAGCGUACCGCCGCCGAGAGAGAGAGAGAGAGAGAGAGAGAGGAGGCAGAGUGCGCCUAAUAUGCAACAAGAGAAAAAGAAUUGGCGAUCAAUAGGUAGUAGCUGGUAAGCGUCCUUUCAUCCGCCCCCGCGGACACCCUCGUCCUUUCUACUUGCCCUAUUCCCCUCUCGUCCACCGUUCACCUCCUCGCGCCCCCGUGUCCUACCUUACCACCAGCCCCUUUCAUUCUCUUACGUUCAUCGCCAAACUCCUUCGGCUCCAUCGCCUUACCCGCCCCUAUCAGCCGCGCUAAACACCUAAAACGCUUCCACUUUUCCUCGUCCCGAAAAAAAACG